rnacentral:rRNA from 1 species
AUUGAACGCUGGCGGCAGGCCUAACACAUGCAAGUCGAGCGGAGCGGCGGACGGGUGAGUAACGCGUAGGUAACUGCCUCAUAGCGGGGGAUAACUAUUGGAAACGAUAGCUAAUACCGCAUCCUGUGAGAUGGACCUGCGUUGUAUUAGUUAGUUGGGGAGGUAAAGGUUCACCAAGGCGACGAUGCAUAGCCGACCUGAGAGGGUGAUAGGCCACACGGGGACGGAGACACGGCCCAGACUCCUACGUGAGGCAGCAGUAGGGAAUCGUCGGCAAUGGACGGAAGUCUGACCGAGCAACGCCGCGUGAGUGAAGAAGGUUUUCGGAUCGUAAAGCUCUGUUGUUAGAGAAGGGGUAACUACCCAGAAGGGGACGGCUAACUACGUGCCAGCAGCGCGGUAAUAC